rnacentral:rRNA from 1 species
UACGGAAGGUCCCGGCGUUAUCCGGAUUUAUUGGGUUUAAAGGGAGCGUAGGCCGUGGAUUAAGCGUGUUGUGAAAUGUAGACGCUCAACGUCUGACUUGCAGCGCGAACUGGUUCACUUGAGUGUGCGCAACGCAGGCGGAAUUCGUCGUGUAGCGGUGAAAUGCUUAGAUAUGACGAAGAACUCCGAUUGCGAAGGCAGCUUGCGGGAGCACAACUGACGCUGAAGCUCGAAAGUGCGGGUAUCGAACAGG